rnacentral:tRNA from 1 species
AGGCCUAUAGCUCAGCGGUAGAGCAGGUGUCUUAUACACACCCGGUCGCUGGUUCGAAUCCAGCUGGGCCUACCA